rfam:Canis lupus familiaris chromosome 34, whole genome shotgun sequence.
CGGGGGAGGCCGGAUCCUGGGCUGUGACCCGGCGCCCUGUGCUCUGGGGCCUGCGCUAUUGGAUUCGCGCUCCCGCCCCGCAGCCCCCU